rnacentral:lncRNA from 1 species
GUGAAAUAAUUAUCAUGAUUGAAAUCAUAAAAAUGGCAAAAUGAAUAGUUUUUAAAUAUACUUUUUCAAUUUUGAUUUUCAAUGAUUUCCCUUUAGCACAUUUUGUACCUUUUCAAACAUAUCUUCACGAUUUCCCUUUGUUAACAUGGUAAACUGGCUUUUUUCUUCUCCAUUUUAAUUUGGUGGGCAUGUGGACAAGUUUGCUACAGUAAUAUUGUGGAAAAUGAGCUUGGACAGGGAUAGUUCGCACAAGGUCAAUGUUGGUGCACACUAUUCGCUUUGAUUGUCAUUUUUGAGGAGGUUUUGUCAAAUAAGUAUCGGAGUAUCAUGUCGUGACAACCGACUUCAGGGAAAAUUCAGACAUCACAUCGGGCAUCACUCAUUUUUUGUGAAAUGUGGCCGUGAAGAAGCAUUCAUGCAUUAUGGCCAAAUUAAAAUUCUGAAAUAUUAUUUUUCUUGAUCGUUUUGGGAAUCCUGCAAGUCUUGUUGAAGGGAUCAUUAUAUAUUAUAUAUAACAAGCUCCUUGCAAUUGCAAUGUAUGUUGUGAUGAGAUUGAUAUUGCNAAAAAAAAAAAAAAAGUAUUGGGUAAUAAAGCUUAUAAAUGGUGGAGGACAGAUAUUUCCACCAAUAGAACUUUAGUUCUUCACCCACAAACAAACAAGGGGGUUGAAUAAUCCACAUUUUGAGAAAAUUUUCCGAUGAAAAAGUUUUUAAAUUAACAAACAAUAAUAAUAUAAAUUAAUAACAUACAAUCAAAAGUUACAUUUAACAUUGAAAAUAAUUGAUGAAAUAAUUAUCAUGAUUGAAAUCAUAAAAAUGGCAAAAUGAAUAGUUUUUAAAUAUACUUUUUCAAUUUUGAUUUUCAAUGAUUUCCCUUUAGCACAUUUUGUACCUUUUCAAACAUAUCUUCACGAUUUCCCUUUGUUAACAUGGUAAACUGGCUUUUUUCUUCUCCAUUUUAAUUUGGUGGGCAUGUGGACAAGUUUGCUACAGUAAUAUUGUGGAAAAUGAGCUUGGACAGGGAUAGUUCGCACAAGGUCAAUGUUGGUGCACACUAUUCGCUUUGAUUGUCAUUUUUGAGGAGGUUUUGCCAAAUAAGUAUCGGAGUAUCAUGUCGUGACAACCGACAUCAGGGAAAAUUCAGACAUCACAUCGGGCAUCACUCAUUUUUUGUGAAAUGUGGCCGUGAAGAAGCAUUCAUGCAUUAUGGCCAAAUUAAAAUUCUGAAAUAUUAUUUUUCUUGAUCGUUUUGGGAAUCCUGCAAGUCUUGUUGAAGGGAUCAUUAUAUAUUAUAUAUAACAAGCUCCUUGCAAUUGCAAUGUAUGUUGUGAUGAGAUUGAUAUUGCGUACAACCAAUCAAAUUCUUUUACUGGAUAGUAUUCUUCAAAUGCAUUGAAUGUGUGGGUAAAGUUAACAUAAAUCAAGACGGAGACAAAUAGAAUAAAGGCUAGCAUAUCUGGGUUUUGAACAUCUAAAACCUAGACAAUUUAAAAAA